rnacentral:tRNA from 1 species
GGCCAGGUAGCUCAGUUGGUAGAGCAGUGGACUGAAAAUCCACGUGUCGACGGUUCAAUUCCGCCCCUGGCCACCA